AUUGAACGCUGGCGGCAGGCCUAAAACAUGCAAGUCGAACGAGUGGCGGACGGGUGAGUAAUGUAUGGGAAACUGCCUCAUGGAUGGGGAUAACUCCUGGAAAGGGUAGCUAAUACCGCAUACCAUCGGAUGUGCCCAGAUGGGAUUAGCUAGUAGGUGGGGUAAAGGCUCACCUAGGCGACGAUCCCUAGCUCGUCUGAGAGGAUGACCAGCCACACUGGAACGGAGACACGGUCCAGACUCCUACGGGAGGCAGCAGUCGGGAAUAUUGCACAAUGGGCGAAAGCCUGAUGCAGCCAUGCCGCGUGUGUGAAGAAGGCCUUCGGGUUGUAAUGUACUUUCAGCGGGGAGGCGUUACCCGCAGAAGAAGCACCGGCUAACUCCGGGCCAGCAGCCGCGGUAAUAC
rnacentral:rRNA from 1 species